rnacentral:snRNA from 14 species
GGAUGUGAGGGCAAUCUGGCUGCAAUGGUCACUCUGUUUAUAGCCAAGGUGGAUUUAUCUGGAAUGGCUGGCUAGGCAGGUGUCUCCCUCCCUCACUGCUCCGUGCAUUCCUUCCAGAGUUGCACACUUGGUCAAAGUGGACAACUUUCCCCGAUAGAGAUGUACUGUUUAUGGGUCAAGAGUAUAUGGUUCUCACCUGCUAGACCCCACAAACAAGCUCAAGGUCCAGUUGUCGGAGAACGUAGGGUAGUUAAGCUUCCAAGACUGUAGACACAUCAAGGUGAAUCAU